GAUGAACGCUAGCGGCAGGCUUAACACAUGCAAGUCGAGGGGUAGAAGCAGCUUGCUGCUUUGAGACCGGCGCACGGGUGCGUAACGCGUAUGCAAUCUACCUUUUACAGAGGGAUAGCCCAGAGAAAUUUGGAUUAAUACCUCAUAGUAUGUGAGAAUCGCAUGGUUUUCACAUUAAAGUUCCAACGGUAAAAGAUGAGCAUGCGUCCCAUUAGCUCGAUGGUAAGGUAACGGCUUACCAUGGCGACGAUGGGUAGGGGUCCUGAGAGGGAGAUCCCCCACACUGGUACUGAGACACGGACCAGACUCCUACGGGAGGCAGCAGUGAGGAAUAUUGGACAAUGGGCGCAAGCCUGAUCCAGCCAUGCCGCGUGCAGGAAGACGGUCCUAUGGAUUGUAAACUGCUUUUAUACAGGAAGAAACCCUCCACGUGUGGAGCUUGACGGUACUGUAGGAAUAAGGAUCGGCUAACUCCGUGCCAG
rnacentral:rRNA from 1 species